CCAGUCGUGGCCGAGUGGUUAAGGCGAUGGGCUAGAAAUCCAUUGGGGUCUCCCCGCACAGGUUCGAAUCCUGUCGACUGCG
rnacentral:tRNA from 2 species